UACGGAGGGUGCAAACGUUGCUCGGAAUCACUGGGCGUAAAGGGUGCGUAGGCGGGUCUUUUAAGUCAGGGGUGAAAUCCUGGAGCUCAACUCCAGAACUGCCUUUGAUACUGAAGAUCUUGAGUUCGGGAGAGGUGAGUGGAACUGCGAGUGUAGAGGUGAAAUUCGUAGAUAUUCGCAAGAACACCAGUGGCGAAGGCGGCUCACUGGCCCGAUACUGACGCUGAGGCACGAAAGCGUGGGGAGCAAACAGG
rnacentral:rRNA from 1 species